rnacentral:rRNA from 1 species
AUAGCCAAUUAAUUGUUGGCCGGUAUGAAUGGCGUCACGAAGGCCCCACUGUCUUAAGAGGACUCUCCAUGAAAUUGAAUUCGUAGUGAAGAUGCUACGUCCAUAUUGUAAGACGAAAAGACCCCAUUGAGCUUUACUAAAGAUUUGCAUGGCUUAAAAUAACUUAAAUAAAGAGUUUAUAUAAUGUGGGGCCCGUUUCUGGCUAAUGAAAUACCACUCUUUUAUUUUAAGAAAGCUAACCUUCACAGGGAUAAUGUAAGUUGGAUAGUUUGGUUGGGGCGACCGCCUUUUAAAAGGUAACGAAGGUGAGCUUAAGGUCCGGAAUUAAUAGCUGGUGGCCUGACUGCAAGGGGAACGUCCCGAGCAGACACUGGUAAUCACCCAGUGGGCUAUAGUGACCCGUCAUUUUAGCGUGGUAUAGUUG